GUUUAGGGAGAUCUUGUGCUCCAGUGCUGUGGAAAGGAACAGCCCUUGCUUUCCAUUCCAACUGCUUUUGUUUGAAUAGGUAAGUAUGGAUGUGAAUUCCUGCCUCCUGAAAAGGCUGGAAGAGCCUGUUCCAGGUGACAGGGAUACAAACUGAAAGGGCUUCUAUGGAUUUAAUGGAAAAGGCAUAUUUUAACAGAGCUCUUUUUGUUCCAGAAGACUGACUUGGCCUAUGAGGAAAUGGAUGGGAAGUGGUACAGGCAAGAGGCGUGGAUGAGCUGCACAGCAUCUCACAGUUCCUGGCCAGCAGCCUAGCCACGGGGCCUGUUUCUGGUUCACAGCUUUCCAUGGAAUGAGGCUAUUCUUCUCACUCAGAGUUACGCUUGGAGCAGGGAAGGAGAAGAGGACUGCAAGGCCAGAUAGGAUUGUUUAGGUUGGACAAAGAUGCUUAGCCAUUCCAGGGCUGUGUAGCUUGGUGUAGCAGGCUUUUCAACAUGGUGAAACCACACAGCAGCAAAUCCACAGCUGAAUAAGUCCACAGAGAACUGAUCUCACCUACUUGCAAGAAUCCAUGCUACCUUUGCUUCUGGCUCAAUGGUGGAGAGGAAAAGGAAGGAACAGGACAUUUUGGCAAAGGACCUGGCAGCACAGCAUGGAAGGAGCUGUCUGUGGAAGUGCCAUCCUGCAAGUGAAAUCCAACUGAGAGGGAGGAGGUAAGAUCCCAUCAAGAUAGGACUCAAAUCCAUCAGCAGCUUCAUUUCAGAAGAGAUACAAGGCUUUAACAGGGCUGUCAGCAGCAUUCUUCAGGUCGAAUUGCUGCAUAAAAGAGAGUGUUAGAAGCUGGGACUUAAACUAAAC
rnacentral:lncRNA from 14 species